UAGUUUUCCAUCUGAUGUUUCCACCCUCAGGGACAUCUCUGAGCUGCCCUAUGAACCUAGGCGAUUCUCACGGAGGUGGUGGAAAAACAAUUUUCUAAAAUACUUCUGCUGUACAGCACCAAGCAGGAAAUAUGGCCUGUAAGGGCCCCCUCUUUCCUGUCAAUCCCCGUCCUGCUCUCCCUCUCCUCUCACAGCUCCACCCCAACCACCCCCCAUCUGCCGCACCCACUCCCUCUCUCCCCUACUCCAAUUCAACUCCAGCAGAAGAACACUGAGGUGAGAGGCAGGCGUCAUUUUGACCUUCAUGACCUUCCAUACACUGAGUGGGAGAUCCAGUACUUCCACAAUGAAGGUUACCAUCACCAGAGAAACUACGCCAUUAUUCCAUCUGCAGCAAUAAUUCCAUGUAUUGGGGAGCGGCAGUGGCGUGCAUGGUGUAGGACACAGAGGAUAAAGGAUGAUAAUAAUAAUACUGUUGUGGCGACAAUAAAACCUUUGAAUCUUGAA